UGAGCACAAAGUGUAACUCCAGUUGUUCAUAUAGACCUACGUGGGACCCACGGCGCGUGUUUGUAAACAAUAUAUUAGCAAAUAUCACUGCGAAACUGUUCUUUUAAUGCGUUAAAACGUCGCUUUUGAGCCAGAGACUUUUCGGAUCUUAAAAUUUAAAGGUAAGUAAGCUUUUUUCUUGUGAAAUAGCAUCCUCAAAUGCUGUCUGUGUGCUUCAAUUAACCCACCAUGCCGCACUUGUCAGGG